GCUAUCUUGCUGAGCAGUCGGCAGCUUCUCCCGAUCCGACCCGCCAUUGAUUGAUAAGCUGAAGCUUCUGUUUGUAACUGCAAAAAGUGACGACAAAGCUUCCAUUUCGUUUCCGAGGCAGUCUUUCGGUUAUUUUCUCUCUUGAAAACGGCGUUUCCAUUAGCUUUUUAGUUAGAGAUUCUUGAUUGAGUACUGCCAAAUAUGUCUUUGAUUCGUCGGAGAAAGGCGG
rnacentral:misc_RNA from 1 species